ACCCGCUGAACUUAAGCAUAUCAAUAAGCGGAGGAAAAGAAACCAACAGGGAUUACCUCAGUAACGGCGAGUGAAGCGGUAACAGCUCAAAUUUGAAAUCUGGCAGCAAUGCCCGAGUUGUAAUUUGUAGAAGAUGCUUCGGGUGUGGCCCCGGUCUAAGUUCCUUGGAACAGGACGUCAUAGAGGGUGAGAAUCCCGUAUGUGACUGGGUGCUUUCGCUCAUGUGAAGCUCUUUCGACGAGUCGAGUUGUUUGGGAAUGCAGCUCAAAAUGGGUGGUAAAUUUCAUCUAAAGCUAAAUAUUGGCCAGAGACCGAUAGCGCACAAGUAGAGUGAUCGAAAGAUGAAAAGCACUUUGGAAAGAGAGUUAAACAGUACGUGAAAUUGUUGAAAGGGAAGCGCUUGCAACCAGACUUGGGCGCGGUCGAUCAUCCGAGGUUUUCCCCGGUGCACUCGACCGCGUACAGGCCAGCAUCGGUUUCGGUGGUUGGAUAAAGGCCUUGGGAAUGUGGCUCCUCUCGGGGAGUGUUAUAGCCCUCGGUGCAAUGCAGCCUACCGGGACCGAGGACCGCGCUUCGGCUAGGAUGCUGGCGUAAUGGUUGUAAGCGACCCGUCUUGAAACACGG
rnacentral:rRNA from 1 species